GAUGAACGCUGGCGGCGUGCCUAAUACAUGCAAGUCGAGCGAACAGACGAGGAGCUUGCUCCUCUGACGUUAGCGGCGGACGGGUGAGUAACACGUGGAUAACCUACCUAUAAGACUGGGAUAACUUCGGGAAACCGGAGCUAAUACCGGAUAAUAUAUUGAACCGCAUGGUUCAAUAGUGAAAGACGGUUUUGCUGUCACUUAUAGAUGGAUCCGCGCCGCAUUAGCUAGUUGGUAAGGUAACGGCUUACCAAGGCAACGAUGCGUAGCCGACCUGAGAGGGUGCUAGGCCACACUGGAACUGAGACACGGUCCAGACUCCUACGGGAGGCAGCAGUAGGGAAUCUUCCGCAAUGGGCGAAAGCCUGACGGAGCAACGCCGCGUGAGUGAUGAAGGUCUUCGGAUCGUAAAACUCUGUUAUUAGGGAAGAACAAAUGUGUAAGUAACUAUGCACGUAUUGACGGUACCUAAUCAGAAAGCCACGGCUAACUACGUG
rnacentral:rRNA from 1 species